GACGGGCCUCCUCGCAUGGUGGCUUGGCAACCUGGUCAGGUCGGGAACGAAGCAGCCAUACCCAAAUACUAU
rnacentral:SRP_RNA from 1 species